rnacentral:misc_RNA from 1 species
UCACUGGAUCAUUUUCCCUUUUGCCCAAACUUUCUGCUAUUGGACACCCAAAACACGAGAGUUUUAGGUGAAACCUUGGAGGCAGAUUUCUGCCUUCACUCUCUCAUCCAACAGUAGCUACUCAUCUCCAUCGCCUGCCAUAAUCAAGCAAAGCUUAUUCGAUCUUUUUCCCUCUCUGGCCUUCGCUCGCGCUCUACUUGCUUGCUCUUUCUGUGCCUUCACACUCUCUGAUUCUUUGUCACUGGAUCAUUUUCCCUUUUGCCCAAA